AGAUUAAGUUAUUAAGGGUGCACGGUGGAUGCCUUGGCACUAGAAGCCGAUGAAGGACGUUACUAACGACGAUAUGCUUUGGGGAGCUGUAAGUAAGCUUUGAUCCAGAGAUUUCCGAAUGGGGAACCAGCAUGAGUUAUGUCAUGUUAUCGAUAUGUGAAUACAUAGCAUAUCAGAAGGCACACCCGGAGAACUGAAACAUCUUAGUACCCGGAGGAAGAGAAAGAAAAUUCGAUUCCCUUAGUAGCGGCGAGCGAAACGGGAAGAGCCCAAACCAACAAGCUUGCUUGUUGGGGUUGUAGGACACUCUAUACGGAGUUACAAAGGACGACAUUAGACGAAUCAUCUGGAAAGAUGAAUCAAAGAAGGUGAUAAUCCUGUAGUCGAAAAUGUUGUCUCUCUUGAGUGGAUCCUGAGUACGACGGAGCACGUGAAAUUCCGUCGGAAUCUGGGAGGACCAUCUCCUAAGGCUAAAUACUCUCUAGUGACCGAUAGUGAACCAGUACCGUGAGGGAAAGGUGAAAAGCACCCCGGAAGGGGA
rnacentral:rRNA from 1 species